CCUACGGGAGGCAGCAGUAGGGAAUAUUGCUCAAUGGGGGAAACUCUGAAGCAGCAACGCAGCGUGGAGGAUGAAGGUUUUCGGAUUGUAAACUCCUUUUGUUAGAGAAGAUAAUGACGGUAUCUAACGAAUAAGCACCGGCUAACUCCGUGCCAGCAGCCGCGGUAAUACGGAGGGUGCAAGCGUUACUCGGAAUCACUGGGCGUAAAGAGCGCGUAGGCGGGUUAGCAAGUCAGAUGUGAAAUCCUAUGGCUUAACCAUAGAACUGCAUUUGAAACUGUUAGUCUAGAGUAUGGGAGAGGUAGGUGGAAUUCGUGGUGUAGGGGUAAAAUCCGUAGAGAUCAAGAGGAAUACUCAUUGCGAAGGCGACCUGCUAGAACAUAACUGACGCUGAUGCGCGAAAGCGUGGGGAGCAAACAGGAUUAGAUACCCCGGUAGUA
rnacentral:rRNA from 1 species